rnacentral:rRNA from 1 species
UGGAGUCGUCCUUGAAAUACCACCCUUGUAGUUUUGAUGUUCUAACGUUGGUCCCUGAAUCGGGAUUACGGACAGUGCCUGGUGGGUAGUUUGACUGGGGCGGUCUCCUCCCAAAGAGUAACGGAGGAGCACGAAGGUGGGCUAAACACGGUUGGACAUCGUGUGGUUAGUGCAAUGGCAUAAGCCCGCUUGACUGCGAGAAUGACAAUUCGAGCAGGUGCGAAAGCAGGUCAUAGUGAUCCGGUGGUUCUGAAUGGAAGGGCCAUCGCUCAACGGAUAAAAGGUACUCCGGGGAUAACAGGCUGAUACCGCCCAAGAGUUCAUAUCGACGGCGGUGUUUGGCACCUCGAUGUCGGCUCAUCACAUCCUGGGGCUGAAGUCGGUCCCAAGGGUAUGGCUGUUCGCCAUUUAAAGUGGUACGCGAGCUGGGUUUAGAACGUCGUGAGACAGUUCGGUCCCUAUCUGCCGUGGGCGUUGGAAAAUUGAAAGGGGCUGCUCCUAGUACGAGAGGACCGGAGUGGACGAACCUCUGGUGUUCGGGUUGUCAUGCCAAUGGCAUUGCCCGGUAGCUAAGUUCGGAAUCGAUAACCGCUGAAAGCAUCUAAGCGGGAAGCGAGCCUUGAGAUGAGUUUUCCCUGGCACUAUAAGUGUCCUAAAGGGUUGUCGUAGACUACGACGUUGAUAGGCAGGGUGUGUAAGUGCUGCGAGGCAUUGAGCUAACCUGUACUAAUUGCCCGUGAGGCUUAACCAU